rnacentral:rRNA from 1 species
UACAGAGGUCUCAAGCGUUUGUUCGGAUUCAUUGGGCGUAAAGGGUGCGUAGGCGGCGCGGUAAGUCGGGUGUGAAAUCUCGGAGCUUAACUCCGAAACUGCAUUCGAUACUGCCGUGCUUGAGGACUGGAGAGGAGACUGGAAUUUACGGUGUAGCGGUGAAAUGCGUAGAUAUCGUGAAGGAAGACCAGUGGCGAAGGCGGGUCUCUGGACAGUUCCUGACGCUGAGGCACGAAGGUCAGGGGAGCAAACGGG